UACGUAGGGUGCGAGCGUUAAUCGGAAUUACUGGGCGUAAAGCGUGCGCAGGCGGUUUUGUAAGCCAGAUGUGAAAGCCCCGGGCUUAACCUGGGAAUGGCAUUUGGGACUGCAAGGCUUGAGUGCGGCAGAGGAGACUGGAAUUCCUGGUGUAGCAGUGAAAUGCGUAGAUAAUCAGGAGGAAUACCGAUGGCGAAGGCAGGUCUCUGGGCUGACACUGACGCUCAUGC
rnacentral:rRNA from 1 species